rnacentral:misc_RNA from 1 species
GAUGAAGAACGUAGCGAAACGCGAUAUGUAAUGUGAAUUGCAGAAUUCAGUGAAUCAUCGAAUCUUUGAACGCACAUUGCGCCCCCUGGUAUUCCGGGGGGCAUGCCUGUUCGAGCGUCAUUACAACCCUCAAGCUCUGCUUGGUAUUGGGCCCCGCCAGUUCUGGCGGGCCCUAAAGUCAGUGGCGGUGCCUUCCGGCUCCGAGCGUAGUAAUUCUUCUCGCUCUGGAGACCCGGUUGUGUGCUUGCCAACAACCCCCAAUUUUUUAAGGUUGACCUCGGAUCAGGUAGGGAUACCCGCUGAACUUAAGCAUAUCAAUAAGCGGAGGA